rnacentral:rRNA from 1 species
AGAGUUUGAUCCUGGCUCAGGAUGAACGCUGGCGGCGUGCUUAACACAUGCAAGUCGAACGAAGCAUUUCGAAUGAAGUUUUCGGACGGAUUUGGGGAUGACUGAGUGGCGGACGGGUGAGUAACGCGUGGGCAACCUGCCCUGUACAGGGGGACAACAGCUGGAAACGGCUGCUAAUACCGCAUAAGCGCACGGUACCGCAUGGUACAGUGUGAAAAACUCCGGUGGUACAGGAUGGGCCCGCGUCUGAUUAGGUAGUUGGCGGGGUAACGGCCCACCAAGCCGACGAUCAGUAGCCGACCUGAGAGGGUGACCGGCCACAUUGGGACUGAGACACGGCCCAAACUCCUACGGGAGGCAGCAGUGGGGAAUAUUGCACAAUGGGGGAAACCCUGAUGCAGCGACGCCGCGUGAGCGAAGAAGUAUUUCGGUAUGUAAAGCUCUAUCAGCAGGGAAGAAAAUGACGGUACCUGACUAAGAAGCCCCGGCUAACUACGUGCCAGCAGCCGCGGUAAUACGUAGGGGGCAAGCGUUAUCCGGAUUUACUGGGUGUAAAGGGAGCGUAGACGGAGAAGCAAGUCUGAUGUGAAAGGCAUGGGCUCAACCUGUGGACUGCAUUGGAAACUGUUUUUCUAGAGUGCCGGAGAGGUAAGCGGAAUUCCUAGUGUAGCGGUGAAAUGCGUAGAUAUUAGGAGGAACACCAGUGGCGAAGGCGGCUUACUGGACUGUAACUGACGUUGAGGCUCGAAAGCGUGGGGAGCAAACAGGAUUAGAUACCCUGGUAGUCCACGCGGUAAACGA